UACGUAGGUGGCAAGCGUUGUCCGGAUUUAUUGGGCGCAAAGCGAGCGCAGGCGGUUCAUUAAGUCUGAUGUGAAAGCCCACGGCUCAACCGUGGAAGGUCAUUGGAAACUGGGGAACUUGAGUGCAGAAGAGGAGAGUGGAAUUCCAUGUGUAGCGGUGAAAUGCGUAGAUAUAUGGAGGAACACCAGUGGCGAAGGCGACUCUCUGGUCUGUAACUGACGCUGAGGCUCGAAAGCGUGGGGAGCAAACAGGAUUA
rnacentral:rRNA from 1 species